AUCGAGGAUCUGCUCGUCGGUGAUGGUGCCAU
rnacentral:scRNA from 1 species